rnacentral:piRNA from 1 species
UGCAACAGAGACGGAGUGGACCUCACACU